UACGAAGGGGGCUAGCGUUGCUCGGAAUCACUGGGCGUAAAGGGUGCGUAGGCGGGUCUUUAAGUCAGGGUGAAAUCCUGGAGCUCAACUCCAGAACUGCCUUUGAUACUGAAGAUCUUGAGUUCGGGAGAGGUGAGUGGAACUGCGAGUGUAGAGGUGAAAUUCGUAGAUAUUCGCAAGAACACCAGUGGCGAAGGCGGCUCACUGGCCCGAUACUGACGCUGAGGCACGAAAGCGUGGGGAGCAGAAGGAGUA
rnacentral:rRNA from 1 species